CAGAGAGCAGGAUGCGGCUGCUUUAUUAUCCCUCACUGCUGAAGCUGUCAGCCCCAUAGCCCUAUCUUUUUCUCAGGACGAUUUAGGUUUCCUGCCAAGAGUCAAAUGUGAAGACUCUUCUAAGAAACCUGGAGCCGAGGACACUUACCAGAGCUUUGCCAGGAGGGCCAGAGCCUUGCUGAGGGAAAGAGAAAGAAAAGUUUUCAGUUCUCCAUGAAGUAUAUGAUGUUUUGCUAUUCAUUCCCAAAGCUGCUGGAAGCAUUCCUCCCAAGAAAGGUGGAGCUGGUGGGGAGAAGCCAGAGGUGAGACGACAGCUGGGAGGACAGGUUGACCCAUUUCCUGAAUUUCCCAUGUGGGGACAGUCUUAGAGCCCGACAGGCUUUGAGACCCGAAGAUGAGCAGCAACGGCAGCGUGGAGGGCCAGCUCCUCGGGCACGGGCCACUGUGCAUCGCCUGGAGGAAGGACCUGGAAGGGGCUGUCUUCCACCUGGCCAACUGCUUCCUGCUCCUGGGCUUCAUGGGUGGCAGCGGGGUGUACGGGUGCUUCUACCUUUUCGGCUUCCUGGGCACAGGCUACCUGUGCUGUGUGCUAUGGGGCUGGUUCAGUGCCUGCGGCCUGGACAUUGUUCUCUGGAGCGUCCUGCUGGCCAUAGCCUGCGUGCUCCAGCUGGCACACCUGGUGUACCGCCUGCGUGAGGGCACCCUCCCCGAGGAGCUGGAGCUGCUCUACAAGACGCUGUGCCUGCCCCUGCAGGUGCCCCUGCCAGCAUACAAGGAGAUCGUGCGCUGCUGCGAGGAGCAGGUCUUGACUCUGGCCACGGAGCAGACCUAUGCCGUGGAGGGCGAGACGCCCAUUGACCGCCUGUCCCUGCUGCUUUCUGGCCGGGUUCGUGUGAGCCAGGACGGGCAGUUUCUGCACUACAUCUUUCCUUACCAGUUCAUGGACUCUCCCGAGUGGGAAUCGCUGCAUCCCUCUGAGGAGGGGGUGUUUCAGGUCACUCUGACAGCUGAGACUGAAUGUAGCUACAUUUCCUGGCCCCGGAAAAAUCUCCACCUCCUUCUGACCAAAGAGCGAUACAUAUCUCGCCUCUUCUCGGUCCUGCUGGGCUAUGACAUCUCAGAGAAGCUCUACGCUCUCAAUGACAAGCUCUUUGCUAAGUUCGGGCUGCGCUUUGACAUCCGUCUCCCCAGCCUCUACCACGUCCUGGGUCCUGCUGCCUCAGAUCCAAGACCAGAGUCUGAGAAGGAUGACGAGGAAGUCCGUGAGCCGGCGGCAACCCCUCCUCAGGCCCUGUACACGUCUGUCCAGCAAACACCUCCUAGCUCCCCACCUCCACUGGUCACCAGCUCUCCUGCACCUCCUCCCUGGGUCAGAAUGUCCAGGCCCGACAGCGGCGUCCUGGGUGAGGACUCCACCAGUCUGGUUCUGGAGGAUUUUGAGGAGGUGUCGGGAUCAGAAUCAUUCAUGGAUUAUAAGAGUGAUGGGGAGUACAUGAGGUGAGGGGAGAACUAACAUGGGCACAGCCCCCCGGCUCGGGAACCUGUCUUCCAGAACUCCUCCCUGGAGCUACUCUGAAGUUAUGUCCAGGGGACAGGCACCCUUGGCUCCAACCCAGACUCCUGAACUGUAAGGGUCAACGGACCAUCCUUUACUCUGGCCACGUUAAUCCUCACAGGAUGGUCACUUGCGUGCACACCCCUCUUCUCACCCACUGGAAGGCUCACAGGCAAGGUUGGAGCAGACACAGAGUAUGCCAGCACUGCAACCACACCAAGGCCCCCGAGUGACUUUUAGGAAUUUGCCUUCAUCAGCCUUCCUUCCAAGAGAAGGCAUCCAAAAGUGCCAAAGCACAGAUUCUAUCCUUUACUAACUGCAGAAUUUCAGGCAAGUCACAUCGCCUCCCUGAGCAUCAUCUGUAAAGGAGUGAUCAUAAAACCCACUUCACAGGGUUGUAAGGAUUCCGUGAGUUGAUUUCAAUAAAUCACCUAGGACAUGCUGUGACACCUAUUGCCCAGGCCCCAAACCUUGGAGUCUUUCCAUCGGCUUUGUUAGAUUUUUUUCGCUGUGCCACACAACCUGCAGGACCUUCGUUCCCCGACCAGAGACUGAAUCCUGGCCCCUGGCAGUGAGUGCCUGGAGUCCGAACUACUGGGUUGCCAGGGAAUUCGCCUGUCUUGUUGGUUCUUUCUUCACAAUAGAUCCCCGGUUCAACUCACCAUGUCCUCUGCUACCGUGAAAUUCAAGCUACCAUUAUUUCAUGGCUAGAUUUAUAACUGGCUCCUGAUUUCUGUCUGUCCUCCUUAUAAUCAGUUCUAUGCAAAGUGAUCAUAUCAACGUAUGUAUGAUGUCUUCACUCUCUUGCUAGAAAUUUCAAAUGACUUUCUAUUAUAAAUGACUACCAGAAUAAAAUCUAAACUUUUU